ensembl:lncRNA
AGAGUGAGGAGGGAUCACUUCGCUGUGAAGAGCUGUGUGGACGGGAGUCUGCCCAGGAGCCCAGGGAUGAAGGAAAUCUUGGACAUCUUUUGUUGUGUCACCACUUGUUAUCUGCUGCUAGCUGGUGUCGGGGGACUGAAAGACAAGAUAACUGACAUGCAGAGAAAGCAGAGCUCUGUAAGAAGAUUACUUCAUUCAUCUGCAGUCUGUGAGGGUCAGGCACCACCAGAGAAAUUGGAAUUGGAUGUUUUUAUGUAGAUAGGCCUUCAGCACACUGAUCUCAGUCUUCCCACGUAUGCUAUCGGGGCAAAAUUAAUGUGCAAACGUUGACUUGUGUUUAAAAAUAAUUUAGACAGAUAGUAUAUGCAUGGGCAGUAUAAAGUCUGGCUUUAUUUUGUGUUUAUGAUUUUAUGUCAAUAAUUACUUUGUUUCUUCUGAAGGAAUAACAUUUUAAGAGAUGAUUAUACCUGAAGAUGUUCUGCUUAGUUCAGUUUAUCACAAAUCGUGGUGUCUUCCUAUUAAAUCAAGUCUUCCUGAUUAUUGUAUUUUGUUAUGCAGCAGCAUUGUAUAUAAUGAUUUCUUCCUUUUCUGUCAUGCUGUUGCAAGAGUCAUUGAAAUCUGCUGUGUACAUACACCUGCCAGGCUUUGUGCUCCAGCAUUCAUUUUUUGUUGUUCCCCCCCCCCGCCCUCCAGCUCCCUGUACUGCCCCAGAAAUUAUCACGCUGCUACCCUUCCCAUCUAUUCUGGUGUUUCAAGGCAGAAAAUAGAAAAUCGGGGGGAGAUUGAAGUUGGAUAAACCCAGAAGAACUUCAAAUGUCUGCGGAUAAGAAGGCCACCAAACACAUUCACAAGUUGCAAGGGAGGUUCUUGGCCCUGGCUGUUGACUGCCUAUACCUCGCUGCUUUCUCCUAGCCCCAAGGAAAGGUUUUAUGCUGACUGAACAUUUAUUAGUAUUGUUAUUCACUAGUUUCAUCCACUGCUUAUUCAACCAUGCCGCACUAAAUCUGUUUGCUUCAUGGCUCACAUCUCCAUUUCUUCUCUUUUUAUCAGAUAGAGCCAUUCUGAAUUACAGUAUAUUCAGUGGCAACAAAUGCACUGUGGUGCAACAGUUCCUAUAAGUUCUCUGCCUUCAGAAGUACCCUCUGGAUGCUGGAAAGUAAUCACACGUAUGGUAGAGUUUACAUUAUCAAGUGUUAUUUAACCUGAAGUAGGAUUCAGAGUUUGGCUUCUCUUAUUAAGUUAUGAUAAACCUAUGCAAAAUCAAUAC